UAGUGGCAGCAGCGAAGGGAGGACCGUGGAGCCAGGCGGGGAGGCGGGAGGGCUAACGUUACU
rnacentral:sRNA from 1 species